AGAGUUUGAUCAUGGCUCAGAUUGAACGCUGGCGGCAGGCCUAACACAUGCAAGUCGAACGGUAACAGGAAACAGCUUGCUGUUUCGCUGACGAGUGGCGGACGGGUGAGUAAUGUCUGGGAAACUGCCUGAUGGAGGGGGAUAACUACUGGAAACGGUAGCUAAUACCGCAUAACGUCGCAAGACCAAAGAGGGGGACCCCCGGGCCUCUUGCCAUCGGAUGUGCCCAGAUGGGAUUAGCUUGUUGGUGGGGUAACGGCUCACCAAGGCGACGAUCCCUAGCUGGUCUGAGAGGAUGACCAGCCACACUGGAACUGAGACACGGUCCAGACUCCUACGGGAGGCAGCAGUGGGGAAUAUUGCACAAUGGGCGCAAGCCUGAUGCAGCCAUGCCGCGUGUAUGAAGAAGGCCUUCGGGUUGUAAAGUACUUUCAGCGGGGAGGAAGGGAGUAAAGUUAAUACCUUUGCUCAUUGACGUUACCCGCAGAAGAAGCACCGGCUAACUCCGUGCCAGCAGCCGCGGUAAUACGGAGGGUGCAAGCGUUAAUCGGAAUUACUGGGCGUAAAGCGCACGCAGGCGGUUUGUUAAGUCAGAUGUGAAAUCCCCGGGCUCAACCUGGGAACUGCAUCUGAUACUGGCAAGCUUGAGUCUCGUAGAGGGGGGUAGAAUUCCAGGUGUAGCGGUGAAAUGCGUAGAGAUCUGGAGGAAUACCGGUGGCGAAGGCGGCCCCCUGGACGAAGACUGACGCUCAGGUGCGAAAGCGUGGGGAGCAAACAGGAUUAGAUACCCUGGUAGUCCACGCCGUAAACGAUGUCGACUUGGAGGUUGUGCCCUUGAGGCGUGGCUUCCGGAGCUAACGCGUUAAGUCGACCGCCUGGGGAGUACGGCCGCAAGGUUAAAACUCAAAUGAAUUGACGGGGGCCCGCACAAGCGGUGGAGCAUGUGGUUUAAUUCGAUGCAACGCGAAGAACCUUACCUGGUCUUGACAUCCACGGAAGUUUUCAGAGAUGAGAAUGUGCCUUCGGGAACCGUGAGACAGGUGCUGCAUGGCUGUCGUCAGCUCGUGUUGUGAAAUGUUGGGUUAAGUCCCGCAACGAGCGCAACCCUUAUCCUUUGUUGCCAGCGGUCCGGCCGGGAACUCAAAGGAGACUGCCAGUGAUAAACUGGAGGAAGGUGGGGAUGACGUCAAGUCAUCAUGGCCCUUACGACCAGGGCUACACACGUGCUACAAUGGCGCAUACAAAGAGAAGCGACCUCGCGAGAGCAAGCGGACCUCAUAAAGUGCGUCGUAGUCCGGAUUGGAGUCUGCAACUCGACUCCAUGAAGUCGGAAUCGCUAGUAAUCGUGGAUCAGAAUGCCACGGUGAAUACGUUCCCGGGCCUUGUACACACCGCCCGUCACACCAUGGGAGUGGGUUGCAAAAGAAGUAGGUAGCUUAACCUUCGGGAGGGCGCUUACCACUUUGUGAUUCAUGACUGGGGUGAAGUCGAAACAAGGUAACCGUAGGGGAUCCUGCGGUUG
rnacentral:rRNA from 1 species